UGUUAUUUCUUCUGCUUCAAAAUGUAUGCUUCGAAUUCUCAAUCUUAGAUAUGUUGUUCAUGUAUGUUGUUACCAAGUUGUGUCAUAUUUCUGUAUAAUUAUGUGGGAGUUGACAUUAAUGCAACUUUUUAUGUUAUUUUUCUUUUUUCCUUUAUUGUUCACACGACCUUUACAUUUUAUCUGUGUGAGUUUGCAGCUUUGUGGUUUUAAAAAGGUUUUGAAUUAUUAAAAAAAAGUAACAGUGGAUAUAAGGUACUGGAAGGCUGCUUCACGAGAAGAGUUGAGAGGAUAAUUGCUGAUUGAAUCAGUAAAGAUAGCUUCGAUAAUGUGAUGCUGGAGUAUUUAGUCAAGUGGCAAGGCCUUUCAUAUGCAGAAGCGACCUGGGAGAAGGACGUAGAUAUUGCUUUUGCUCAAGAUUCUAUGGAUGAGUACAAGGUGGAGUAUCACAUAGGUUUUGUUUUUUGUUCAAUUUUUUUUUUCUCAUUUUUCAUUUCCUUUUAGUGAGCUUUCCUUCAGCAUGGCAAAAUUUUUUCUGUUCAUUA